GGAUCUGGUGAUCCGUGGUAACGUAGUUCUCAACACGUUAUCAGCACGCUCUACCUCGACGUUGCUGCGAAGCCGAUCUGCACCGACUCUCCAUCAAGCCGGCAGGUCCCCGGCCUAGCCGAACUGUCGUACGCGACAGACUUUGUUUUCGUUCGCUGAAUCAAGAAACAUGGUAUGAAAUUUAUAGAUUGGAUAUGAAAUUGUAAAUGAGUUUACUCUCUACUACCUCGGCUCCAUGUACUAGCACUUGCAUGCACCUGCAUUAACAAAUGGCAUCUGGAUUUGAUUGGACAAAACUCACACAACAAUUGCUACGACAAGCUUUUCUACCCCGGAGUUCUUGAAUCGCAGAGAGAGAUAGCUCGUAGGCCAAAAGCUGAGUGCUCG
rnacentral:lncRNA from 1 species